GAUGAACGCUGGCGGCGUGCUUAACACAUGCAAGUCGAACGGGAAACCUUUUAAUGAAGCUUCGGCAGAUUUAGCUGGUUUCUAGUGGCGGACGGGUGAGUAACGCGUGGGUAACCUUCCUUAUACAGGGGGAUAACAGUCAGAAAUGACUGCUAAUACCGCAUAAGCGCACAGGACCGCAUGGUCCGGUGUGAAAAACUCCGGUGGUAUAAGAUGGACCCGCGUUGGAUUAGCUUGUUGGUGGGGUAACGGCUCACCAAGGCGACGAUCCAUAGCCGGCAUGAGAGGGUGAACGGCCACAUUGGGACUGAGACACGGCCCAGACUACUACGGGAGGCAGCAGUGGGGAAUAUUGCAAAAUGGGGGAAACCCUGAUGCAGCGACGCCGCGUGAAGGAAGAAGUAUCUCGGUAUGUAAACUUCUAUAAGCAGGGAAGAUAGUGACGGUACCUGACGAAGAAGCCCCGGCUAACUACGUG
rnacentral:rRNA from 1 species